rnacentral:rRNA from 1 species
CGGGUGAGUAACACGUGAGUGACCUGCCUUUUAGACUGGAACAACUUACCGAAAGGUGAGCUAAUGCCGGAUGAGUUAUAUAAGUGCAUGUUUAUAUAGGAAAAGUUGGGGAGACCUGACGCUGAAAGAUGGACUCGCGUCCCAUUAGCUAGUUGGUAGGGUAAUGGCCUACCAAGGCGACGAUGGGUAGCCGGCCUGAGAGGGUGGCCGGCCACNCUGGGACUGAGACACGGCCCAGACUCCUACGGAAGGCAGCAG